ACUUACUUAGUAUAUAAAGUAUAAUUGACUUCCAAUCAAUAGGUCUAUUGAUAGAGUAAGUA
rnacentral:tRNA from 1 species